rnacentral:lncRNA from 1 species
CGCACGCCUUUAAUCCCAGCACACAGGAGGCAGAGGCAGGUGGAUCUCUGUGAGUUCAAGGCCAGCCUGGUCUACAGAGUGAGUGCCAGGACAGGCUCCAAAGCAAUACAGAGAAACCCUGUCUCGAAAAACAAAAAAAAAAAACAAAAAAAAAAAACAAAAAAAAAAAAAGAGAAAAAAAAGAAAUACAAUUUACUCAGCUCGAUUUUCAACAAGUAUAUAAAUACACACAUGAAACUUUUGACUUUAAAAAACAGGCAGGCUAGGCAAUGAUGGCAUAUAAUCCCAGCAGAGGCAGGCGAUCUCUUUGAGUUCAAGGCCUUGUCUACAAGCAGUUCCAAGAUAGCCAGAGCUGUUAAACAGAAACCCUGUCUUGAAAAAGCCAAAAUAAAAAACAACAUGCAGAAGCAUUCAUUCACUCUUCCUUCCCUAAUGCCACCAAAGUUCAGUGAUGUUGUAAAUGGUUUCUGCCUAUAAACUUGGUUCAAUCAAAUUAAAUAUUACUUGACUGACUCAUGGAGGGAGUAGUCUGACUUCUGUUCUGAGUCAGAAAUACUCAGUUCAGCAGUUCUGAACUAUUUUUCACUGGUAAAGGUGUUCUGAAAUGUCAGCUUUUCUAGAUACUAAAUGUAACAAGCUGUUGUCUUCUUAGUAAUAUUUUUGCAUCUGCAGUUCAACUUAUAAUUAACAGAGUACUUUCAAGUGUAUUCUCUUACAUGUGAUUUGCAAUCUCUUGACUUAAUUAUCUGCACAUCCCAAGAGAAAAAUUUUCAAAGUGGCCACUUCAGUUGACUCCUCAGCUCCAAUAAAUGCCCCCCAUAACACACACAAAAUCACCAAACAUAAAAGUCUGCUACAUUUCUUUAAUCAGACUUUCCUCCCAGACAUAUCCCAGGUGCCUCAUAAAAACUGUCUCAAAGCACACACCCUGGGGCCCCAAGACAGUUUCAAGGCAGAAUCUCCUCCCACAUAAAAGCCUAGCUUAGGCCCCCAAAAGCCUCAAGUCAGCAUCUCCUACGAUCCUCUUGCCUCAAAGACACUUAGUCUUCUCCAUUAGCUUCUCCAUUGCACACACAGCUCUUGGGUGUGCAAGCUGCUAGAUCACUGUAAGAAUAAAAAAUUUCAAAGUCAGACAUGCUACUGAGAGAAUGGUUUAGUGUCCUUUAAAUCAGGGGCUUCAGAAGACUUUAAUAUUUAAUCCAGUUCUUAUUAUCCCUGUGACCUGGGACAAGUUACUGAACAAAGUACCUGCUCUUCAUGUAUCUCUUCAUCUCAUCACUAUGAAGUGGGGGGGAGCACAUCACCAAAUCCCUAAUGCCUGGCAAAUAGAAGCAUCUCAAAAAAUGUGCAAAACAAAUGCCAAGGAGGAUAUCCUCCACCUUUAUUGUGGCUGUGAGAAUUAAAUGAGUAUUAAAAAAUACUUGUAGCACAGUAGCACUUAUUACUAAUUACUCCCAUCUUCCAGUGAGUGCAAUACUAUUUCUCAAGCAUAGUAUGAGAAAAGGGACACUAAGGAAACCAUUAAUUUCCACCUAAGCUUGGUGGUCAUGCCUGCCAUCCCAGCACUUAGGAAGCUGAAGCAAUAGUACUAUCACAAAUGCCAGGCCAGCAUGAGCUGCAGAGUAAGUUCCAGGCCAGGCAACAGAAUGAGACUCUAUAUAUAUUUAAAAAAAAAAACUAAACUAAACUAAAAAAAGCUCUUUUCACUUCUAACAAAUAUUUUAUCAGAUGUUACAUAUAUGUAAAAUUUUCAACUUAAAGCAACAUACCGAUUUUUGUCUGUAAUUCUUCACCCACUAUCAAAAAGAACCACCUUUUUUUCUUUCCUUAUUCCCAACAUUUUUGGUAGUAGUAAUAAUGGGGAUUAAACCUAGGACUUCUCUAUCAAUGCCCCAAGUGCUCUACCACUGAGCUAUUUCCUUCCCGACUCCCUUUUACUAUUUUGAGAUAAGCCCGUAAAGUUUCACAAACUGCCCUUGAAUCUCCCAUCCUCUGCCCUCUGACCUCCAAGUAGUGGAGAUUACAGAGCUGUGGCACCAGCCUCAGCUUUGCUUACUGAUUUCCAAUUACCUUCUAUGACUGAUUACAUCAUUAAAGUAUAAAAUCUGAAUCAACAAUUCUUCAUCUCGAAUCCCCGACUUAGCCUACUUAGACACCUAUAAUCUUAAUACUUGAAGACCAAGGCAGGAGAAUCAGAGUUCAAAGCCAAACUGUGUUACAAUGAGUUUGAGGCCAUACUGAACUACAAGAAGAACCCUGUUUGGAAUUUCUAAAAUUAUCAAAAUAAAACAAAUGAAACAAAAUAAUCCUUCUUCAACCCCAGAUAGAGAAAAGCCCAUUAACAAUCACUUGGGAUCAUUCACUCCCGAACUAAAAAUGUCCGGAUCAGAAAACAAAGCCCUGCUAAUGUGUUCUUCUAUCUAUAGCCUUAGUUUCCUUUUGCACACUAACAAGGCUUAACUUCUCUCACUUCCUGUCUGAAACAGCUCAGUACAGAGCGCGGAAACAAGUAGAUACCACAUUCUAAUCCAGCUACAGCGACGCAUCUGCUGAAUGCCUACAACGACACGAUUAGUCACUUUGUAUUUCGUGACAAAUCCAAAGACAGAAACUCGACUAUGGCACUUCUUUAUCGACAUUUACACUAUGACUGCUUCUUAGGCGCUUUCCUGCAGAAGGUUAAGAGAGACAUAGCCUAAAAGAAACCUGCGGUUUACCUCACUAAAUAUCCUUGACCUGAACAGGAAGCAUUUACCUACUAAAAAAAAAAAAAAAAGUUUACGCUUCUCAAUACGCUACUCGCAAAAACUCAGGAUCCUGGGCAAGAGCCAAGCUUGAUGCUCUUCAGUACCAGUAUAAAGAAAGUAUGAAGAAUGAGCGUGAUUAAAACAAAAACAAAACUGUGGAGCUUAUUAUGCAUGCUCUAUCAUAGCACGGACAACAUACGAUAAAUUCCUGUUUUCAUGAACGAAUGAAUCUUCCUCUGUCCAUCUGGCUCUCAGCCUGGCCCUCAAAUAAAAAAUACCUCAAGUAUCCAUCUACACUUGCUGUCCUGCUCUGAGGAAAUGCAGUUCUAAAGAAGAGAGACCGCAGAAAUCACAGAGGGAAGAGAUGAGGGGAAAAUCAAUUUGGUGCAGUUUUCACAAACCUUUAAAAUAGGGCGAUUUAAGUGAUGAUGGGGUUUCAUGACCAGCGGCGGCUCUGAAGGGAAUGCUCACGUCUCCUGGCAUUUCUCUGAGUAGGUGGGAAAGGAAGGAAAAUGGUUUUUUUCCUCCCCUUCUACUUAGAAGAAAAUGGAGGCAAUGAAAAGCAAACGUCUCCCAUAAUGUCCCAUUACGGAGGACAAAUGAAAUGCUGCUCCCUGUAGCUCCUCAGCCAGGCUCUGGGCAGGCCUUCUCCUCCAAGCUCCAGAAACUAAGUAUUCCCCAACACACCUGGCACUGCUGUUACCAUGGUGACACUUUUGUAUUACCCUCACCUUUUGUGUUCCUUAACUUGGGGGCGGAGGCUGGUGCAGGGCACAGUUGAGUUUUCAUAUUUCUCCCCGGCUUCUGUAAAAUGGAAGAAGAGAAGAGGGGACAGGAUCCUGAUCUCCUCUGCCUGCUUCCUUGGCUCCUUGUUUCUCCGUUCCUCUACUAGACCUCACUGGCCAAGGCACCUAGAAUGGAGGCAGAGGAUGGAUGGAAAAAGCUUUGAUGGAGCCCAAUAGACCUGGGUUCAAAUUUGCAACUCCUCCAGGAAUCCAUGUGUCUUCAUUCAAACCUGCCCUGGCUCAAGUACUGGCAGAUUGGAGGGAAAGUCAAGAGGACAGAUAAUAUGAGCCAGAAUGAAAAGCAACAAAGCAGGUACUGGUCCCCCCUCUCUGUACCUGGGAUUGAAUUUAAGGCCUGAAGCUCACUAGCAAGCUCUGCAUUACUAAGCUGAGCUAUUCACACACACACACACCUUUUUUCUUUUUUUUUCAUUUUGAGAUGGUGUCUCACUGCAUAGCCCAGGCUCUCUUUGAACUAGCAAUCCAACCUCACCCUGCCACCAGGCCUCUCUAGGUGCUGUCUCUCUCGAUUCCUGGGAAAACAGAAAGAUGUAAAACCCAAACUGAACUGAGAGGGACUCAGGAAAAGCCAAGCACUUAGGAGUUAGGUAUGUGGGCUCAACAAAACUAAGCGUGAGAAGAGCCAGGCAUAAGGGUGCUUCCUAUAAUCCUGGGACUGGGGAGACCAAGGCAGGAGGGUAAUGAGUUUGAAGCCAGCCUGGAAUUUUCAGCAAGUCCCUGCCUAGAAAAACAACCAUCUGAGAAAUGAUGGUGCACGCCUUUAAUCCCAGCACUCAGGAGGCAGAGGCAGGCGGAUCCCUGUGAGUUCCAGGCCAAGUUUGGUCUACAGCACGAGUUCCAGGACAGCCUCCAAAGCUACAGAGAAACCCUGUCUUGGAAAAACAAACAGACAAACAAAACAACAACAAAAAACAACACACACACACACAAAACAUUCACACUCAGCACACAGACCCAGACUAUCCAAAACUCCACUUGGUAACCUUAGAUAGCUCUGAACUUCAACUCUUCAGUGUCUUUACUUGUAAAAGGAUGGUCCUAAUCAUACCAAUCCCGAGGAGUCUUGCUGGGAUUCUAAGAUACGGCAUAUGAACCAGCAGGGUCAGUAUACAAAAGGUGGCUGCUUCCGAAUCAGCGCCCCUGACCAAGCAGCCACUGUUUCCGCAGCUGGACUGCAGCUGGCACCGCAGUUACUGUUUCACGUGUAUGGAGCCUGGCUUCUGGCUGCCUCUCCAGAAACACAGCUUCCCAGCCUUUUUGGACUCUUUCACUUUUGCCCUCUGCAGCUUUCAAACUCCAGGUCCAGAAGGCCACAUACAAUUCACACCUGAGGCCCAUCUUCAGCGUUCCCCUCCUCACCAGCAUUAGCCUCUCCCCUAGACCAGGGGGCCCAGAGAAGGCCAGGGGAUGGUCCAAGGCCUUAAUUGCCUCCCCGCCCCUCCAGGACAAAGAGGGAGGGCUUCUCAGAGACGGAGAUGGGAAAGGGCAGUGUGCGCCAGUCCUGAUGCAAUCGUCCUCGGAUUUCUUGGCCCACUUCCUCCUUCUCAAGUGUUUACUGAAGCCUGAAUUCCACAGAAACCUCUGCAAGUGUGCACUGACAACAGUGGCGGGCAGGAUGCAUAACUGCCCUGGCUCCAGGGACAGUUUAGGAAGAAAUGAUCCUGUGCCCUGGGCUCAGGGACGCUGGCGAGAGAAAUCCAGUGUCGGGAAUCCAGUGGGAGGGGCGAGGAUGGUAGGCUGAAGGAAGAGGCACCGCUGAGGGGCUGACUUCUGCUUCGUGCCAGAUCCAGCUUCCAGAACCCGCUCUGGGGAAGCUAAUAGACUCUUUAUCUAAGCUGUGUAGAGGAGGCUACCACAAGGGGUCUUCCAGUGAUGGGCGCCUCAGAAGCAGCUUAGAGGCGCAUCUCUUCCCUGUCAGCCCAACUAGCGGAAAAGCAGCUUCUUGGAAGGGGACACUUGGUCCUCAGCCGUAGUCUUGGCUGGGUCUCCUGGAGACAUUCUUAGAAGAGCAGGGCGCAUAGUGGUUCCGGACAUGGGAUGUGGGAAGUUAUUUGCUAGCUGCCCCAGGCAAGCGAUUUCAUCUGACAGACUCUCACCUUCGUCCUGGCAAAAGACAAAUGGUGAAAGCUCACCUCACAGACCGGCCUCUGGGCCGCAGAGCCUUUCCUUGGCAAUGUUACAAUCUCUCAAUAGCCCAUUAGAGCUGUAACCCUUUAAUACUGUUCUCCAUGUUGUGGUGACCCCACACACACAUACCAUAAACUCAUUUUGCUGCUAUUUCAUAACUGCAAUUUAGCUACUGUUAUGAAUCUUAAUGUAGAUAACUGAUAGGCAGGACAUCUGAUAUGCAGCCUGUGUGUGUGUGUGUGUGUGUGUGUGUGUGUGUGUGUGUGUGUGUGUGUGGUGGACCCCAGGGUGAGAAGUCCUGCACUAGAUGAUGGUAUUGUUACUUUAUUUGAUAAGAAUCAAGGCUUGGAGAGUCUUUUUCUGAAGCUGGAGCCUGACAGUGAUGCUUUUGUCAAUAUCUAAUGACUAUUUCCCAGGAGAGACCAGGUUUCCCCACCCCCAGAGCUGUGAAACCUAGUACCUAAACUUGCUCAAGCGCCUGAGUCACCCAGCAAGACAAGCCCAAGAUAAUCAGAUCAAGGAAACUCAAGGCAGAGAGGGGAAAUCCCAGCCACAGGGCUGGGACCUUCUCAACUGUGAGCCCCUCCAAUGAGCUUUCACUGUGGACAACACAAACAAACCAGCAUCUGACACCUGGGAAGAGGUGCUGGGAGUUCCCAGAGCAAGGUGUCAGUGACACCUGGGUCUCUGGCCAGCAGCCACACCCUUGCCUGACUUGACACAAACUCUGCUUUUUGUUUUGCUUUUUUUUUAAUUUAAUUUAAUUAGUUCAAAUUAGGAACAUGCUUGCUUCAGAUGUCAAUCCUUUCUCCCUCUCCCUCUCCCUCUUCCUCCCCUCCCCCCCAACAUCCCACCUGCCCCUAGCCAUCCCCCCCUCCACUCCCCAGACAGGGUAAGGCCCUCAAAAGGGGCUCCCCAAAGUCUACCACAUCAUCUACCACAUCAUCCUGGGCCAGGCCUAGGCCCUUCUGUUUUGCUUUUUUUAUUUUAUUUUGUGUGUGUUGGUGUUUUGCCUAGGCGUAUGUCUGUGUAAGGGUGUCAGAUCCCUUGGAACUGGAGUUACAGACAGUGUGAGCUACCCAGGUCCUCUGGAAAAGCAGCCAGUGCUCUUAACCACGGAUCUAUCUCUCCAGCCCCUCAUUUUUUUUUUUUUUUUUAAGACAAGAGUCUCACUUUGUACCACUGGCUGACCUGGAAUUCAUUAUGCAGACCAGGCUGGCAGGCUGGCCUUGAACUCACAGAGAUCCUCCUGCCCUGCCUCUGACUAUUUACUUUUAGAUGACUCUCUUUUUCCCCUAUUCCCCACUGCUGGAAGAACUGACUAACUCCCAUCCUCACUGCCCAUUCGAUCCCAAGCCUCUUUGGUUUCUGCUCAGCUAUCCCACGAACACCUUCUGAUCACACUCACUGAUGGACUGAUAAUUGCCAAGAUCUAAAGGUCACCUCCAUGCC